GACGAACGCUGGCGGCGCGCUUAACACAUGCAAGUCGAACGGAAAGGCCUGCUUUCCCUUGUGGAUUGCGGGUACUCGAGUGGCGAACGGGUGAGUAACACGUGAGUGAUCUGCCCCCAACUUGGGUAUAAGCCUGGGAAACUGGGUCUAAUUCCCGAUAGGACUGCAGGGUGGUGCCUGUGGUGGAAAACGAUUUUCUAGUGGUUGGGGAUGAGCUCGCGGCCUAUCAGCUUGUGGGUGGGGUAAUGGCCUACCAAGGCGGCGACGGGUAGCCGGCCUGAGAUGGUGGACGGCAACAUUGGGACUGAGAUACGGCCCAGACUCCUACGGGAGGCAGCAGUGGGGAAUAUUGCACAAUGGGCGGAAGCCUGAUGCAGCGACGCCGCGUGGGGGAUGACGGCCUUCGGGUUGUAAACUCCUUUCGACCGCGAGGAAGCCACCUGGUUGGAAGGGUGGUGACGGUAGUGGUAGAAGAAGCACCGGCUAACUACGUG
rnacentral:rRNA from 1 species